rnacentral:lncRNA from 1 species
CACUCUUAUUUUCGGACUCCCUAUUUAUAGGUGAAUUUUUUACCUUUUUAUGAUCACAAUAGGAGUCCUAAAAACUUUAGAAAUCAUAAAACACCCUUAUCUAAUUUUUCUAGCCAUCAGAUCUUCAAUAGACCAUCCAGAUCACUCCAAAAUUUGCUGUUUAAAUCUUUAUCAUGAUUGAAAAUAAUUCUGGCCAUCGAAUCAGGCAUCGAAUGGAAUC